rnacentral:rRNA from 1 species
UACGAAGGGGGCUAGCGUUGUUCGGAAUUACUGGGCGUAAAGCGCACGUAGGCGGAUCGAUCAGUCAGGGGUGAAAUCCCAGGGCUCAACCCUGGAACUGCCUUUGAUACUGUCGAUCUGGAGUAUGGAAGAGGUGAGUGGAAUUCCGAGUGUAGAGGUGAAAUUCGUAGAUAUUCGGAGGAACACCAGUGGCGAAGGCGGCUCACUGGUCCAUUACGGACGCUGAGGUGCGAAAGCGUGGGGAGCGAACAGG